rnacentral:rRNA from 1 species
UACGGAGGGUGCAAGCGUUAUCCGGAUUCACUGGGUUUAAAGGGCGCGUAGGCGGCCUUGUAAGUCGGGGGUGAAAGCCUGUGGCUCAACCACAGAAUUGCCUUCGAUACUGCAGGGCUUGAGACCGGAAGAGGUAAGUGGAACUGCGAGUGUAGAGGUGAAAUUCGUAGAUAUUCGCAAGAACACCAGUGGCGAAGGCGGCUCACUGGCCCGGUACUGACGCUGAGAUACGAAAGCGUGGGGAGCAAACAGG